GAGUUUGAUCAUGGCUCAGAUUGAACGCUGGCGGCAUGCCUUACACAUGCAAGUCGAACGGCAGCACGGACUUCGGUCUGGUGGCGAGUGGCGAACGGGUGAGUAAUACAUCGGAACGUACCCUGUUGUGGGGGAUAACUAGUCGAAAGAUUAGCUAAUACCGCAUACGACCUGAGGGUGAAAGUGGGGGACCGUAAGGCCUCACGCAGCAGGAGCGGCCGAUGUCUGAUUAGCUAGUUGGUGGGGUAAAGGCCCACCAAGGCGACGAUCAGUAGCUGGUCUGAGAGGACGAUCAGCCACACUGGGACUGAGACACGGCCCAGACUCCUACGGGAGGCAGCAGUGGGGAAUUUUGGACAAUGGGGGCAACCCUGAUCCAGCAAUGCCGCGUGUGUGAAGAAGGCCUUCGGGUUGUAAAGCACCUUUGUCCGGAAAGAAAUCGCUUCGGUUAAUACCUGGGGUGGAUGACGGUACCGGAAGAAUAAGCACCGGCUAACUACGUGCCAGCAGCCGCGGUAAUACGUAGGGUGCGAGCGUUAAUCGGAAUUACUGGGCGUAAAGCGUGCGCAGGCGGUUUUGUAAGACAGGCGUGAAAUCCCCGAGCUCAACUUGGGAAUUGCGCUUGUGACUGCAAGGCUAG
rnacentral:rRNA from 1 species